rnacentral:tRNA from 1 species
GGCGUGGUGGCGGAGUGGUUAUCGCGCAAGACUAGAAAUCUUGUUCCUUCGGGAGCGCAGGUUAGUUCUACCACAUCCCAGCCAUCUACAUCAAGCUAAUCUUCCCUAGGUUCGAAUCCUGCCUACGUCG